UCUGGGCUUUCACUCUGAGAAAGCAGGCAGGAGGUCCUGUAAACAAUAUGGCCUUGAUGCAUGUGGUAUUUUCAGUGGUUUACCGCCUCCACUGAGCCGUGGGUAACUGGCAGCAGCAACAGAGG